rnacentral:rRNA from 1 species
UACGUAGGCAGCAAGCGUUGUUCGGAGUUACUGGGCGUAAAGGGUGUGUAGGCGGUUUUUAAGUUUGGUGUGAAAUCUCCCGGCUCAACUGGGAGGGUGCGCCGAAUACUGAAAGACAUAGAGUGCGGGAGAGGGAAAGUGGAAAUUCCUGGUGUAGCGGUGAAAUGCGUAGAUAUCAGGAGGAACACCGGUGGUGUAGACGGCUUUCUGGACCGUAACUGACGCUGAGACACGAAAGCGUGGGUAGCAAACAGG